rnacentral:rRNA from 1 species
UACGGAGGGGGCGAGCGUUGCUCGGAAUCACUGGGCGUAAAGGGUGCGUAGGCGGGUCUUUAAGUCAGGGGUGAAAUCCUGGAGCUCAACUCCAGAACUGCCUUUGAUACUGAGGAUCUUGAGUUCGGGAGAGGUGAGUGGAACUGCGAGUGUAGAGGUGAAAUUCGUAGAUAUUCGCAAGAACACCAGUGGCGAAGGCGGCUCACUGGCCCGAUACUGACGCUGAGGCACGAAAGCGUGGGGAGCAAACAGG